GAUGAACGCUGGCGGCGUGCCUAAUACAUGCAAGUCGAGCGAACAGACGAGGAUCUUGCUCCUCUUACGUUAGCGGCGGACGGGUGAUUAACACGUGGAUAACCUACCUAUAAGACUGGGAUAACUUCGGGAAACCGGAGCUAAUACCGGAUAAUAUAUUGAACCGCAUGGUUCAAUAGUGAAAGACGGUUUUGCUGUCACUUAUAGAUGGAUCCGCGCCGCAUUAGCUAGUUGGUAAGGUAACGGCUUACCAAGGCGACGAUGCGUAGCCGACCUGAGAGGGGGAGCAGGCCAAAUGGGAAGGAGACAAGGGUCAGACACCUAAGGGAGGCAGGAGGGGGGAAUAUUGGACAAAUGGGGAAAGGCCGAACGAGACAAGGCGGGGGUGGGAAGAAGGGCUUUGGAUUGUAAAAAAUUUUUUGUUAGGAAAAAAGAAAGUAAUAAAAAACCUUGCAGGUUUUAAGGGAACAAAAUAAGAAACACAGGCUAAAUUAGGG
rnacentral:rRNA from 1 species